rnacentral:rRNA from 1 species
AGUGAACGCUGGCGGUAGGCCUAACACAUGCAAGUCGAACGGCAGCACAGUAAGAGCUUGCUCUUACGGGUGGCGAGUGGCGGACGGGUGAGGAAUACAUCGGAAUCUACUUUUUCGUGGGGGAUAACGUAGGGAAACUUACGCUAAUACCGCAUACGACCUACGGGUGAAAGCAGGGGAUCUUCGGACCUUGCGCGAUUGAAUGAGCCGAUGUCGGAUUAGCUAGUUGGCGGGGUAAAGGCCCACCAAGGCGACGAUCCGUAGCUGGUCUGAGAGGAUGAUCAGCCACACUGGAACUGGGACACGGACCAGACUCCUACGGGAGGCAGCAGUGGGGAAUAUUGGACAAUGGGCGCAAGCCUGAUCCAGCCAUACCGCGUGGGUGAAGAAGGCCUUCGGGUUGUAAAGCCCUUUUGUUGGGAAAGAAAAGCAGCAGGUUAAUACCCCGCUGUUCUGACGGUACCCAAAGAAUAAGCACCGGCUAACUUCGUG